rnacentral:rRNA from 2 species
CAACUUUCAACAACGGAUCUCUUGGCUCUCGCAUCGAUGAAGAACGUAGCGAAAUGCGAUAUGUAAUGUGAAUUGCAGAAUUCAGUGAAUCAUCGAAUCUUUGAACGCACCUUGCGCCCCUUGGCAUUCCGAGGGGCACACCCGUUUGAGUGUCGUGA